rnacentral:lncRNA from 1 species
AAAAGCUCACGCUUAAUGCGUCUUGAGCGUAGGGGCGCCUUUGAAGGCGCGCGCCUAAGCCAAGUUUUAGUGAAAACGCAUGGCUUCUUCACAAAUAAGUCACAUCUGCGUAACUUGAGUCUAGGUGUGCCUAAGCAUGCACGUUAGUGAGUUUUUUAAAACAUUGCCACAAGCCUCAGUGAACCAAGAACCACGGACUGACUGAAGCCCUUAUCGAGACCAUAUUGUCAGAAACCAACCCUCUUCACCGGAGUUAUUCAUCGGAGUUAUUCAUGUAGAAACACCCACCUACAAAACGGAGAAAAUUCUUGUUGAAUCGAAUUACCCUCGGUUGAAAAAAUCUCAUCUCCGUUAGACCCACACUGAUGAUGAAUGCCACUGUUGAACGGAAUCCCUAAAUGACAACCUUCACGGUACUCACUUCAAACUUUCUCUGAAUUCUACAAAAAUCACAAUUUCCUUCCUUGCAUGUCUGCUCUUUGAAUUUGCGAACAAAAAAGCUAGAUAAAGAGCUUCAACUAGACUCUGAGAGAGAAAUAAUUUUUCUCACAUUUGUAAAAUACAUCAUAUUGAAAAAGUAUUCUUUUCACAUUUGUAAAAUACAUCAUAUCGAAAAGACAAGACUGGAGAAAGUACAUUACCUUGCGUGGAGGAAUAGUGGUUUAGCAACAUGGCAUCCAUAGUUCACAUAUGGCAGCUACUUAUCUUUUCUCAAUUAGAUUAGAAUUUGAAUCACAUUUGAGUCUGGAAUUUAAAUUUAAAGCCCAAUGUAAUGAAAAUUGAAGGU